CUAGGAAUCUGCCUGGUAGUGGGGGACAACGUUUCGAAAGGAACGCUAAUACCGCAUACGCCCUACGGGGGAAAGCAGGGGACCUUCGGGCCUUGCGCUAUCAGAUGAGCCUAGGUCGGAUUAGCUAGUUGGUGAGGUAAUGGCUCACCAAGGCGACGAUCCGUAACUGGUCUGAGAGGAUGAUCAGUCACACUGGAACUGAGACACGGUCCAGACUCCUACGGGAGGCAGCAGUGGGGAAUAUUGGACAAUGGGCGAAAGCCUGAUCCAGCCAUGCCGCGUGUGUGAAGAAGGUCUUCGGAUUGUAAAGCACUUUAAGUUGGGAGGAAGGGUACUUACCUAAUACGUGAGUAUUUUGACGUUACCGACAGAAUAAGCACCGGCUAACUCUGUGCCAGCAGCCGCGGUAAUACAGAGGGUGCAAGCGUUAAUCGGAAUUACUGGGCGUAAAGCGCGCGUAGGUGGUUCGUUAAGUUGGAUGUGAAAUCCCCGGGCUCAACCUGGGAACUGCAUCCAAAACUGGCGAGCUAGAGUAGGGCAGAGGGUGGUGGAAUUUCCUGUGUAGCG
rnacentral:rRNA from 1 species